AUGGUGCCGGGGCGUGGUGAUGGUGAUGGAUCGGCGACGGCGCCUGGGCGUGGUGAUGGAUCGGCGACGGCGCCGGAGCGUGGUGAUGGUCAUGGAUCGACGUCAGCGCUGGAGCGUGGUGAUGAUGGUGGUGGAUCGGCGAUGGCGCUGGUGCGUGGUGAUGAUGGUGGUGGAUCGGCGAUGGCGCCGGAGCUUGGUGAUGGUGGUGGUGGAUCGGUGAUGGGGCCGGAGCAUGGUGAUGAUGGCGGUGCCGCCCAUGAGCGGGAGCAGGCGCCAACACCGGACCGUGAUGGUGAUGAGGGCUCGGCGCUGGGGCAAAAUGGCCAUGAUGGUGAGCGGGGCUUGGUGCUUGAGUUGGUGCGUGGUGGUGGUCCUCGUGCACCGAGGAGAGCACGGCCAGCGGGGCCAACAAUAGUGCCAUCACUACGAUGGUUGGCGAGAGAGGAGUCGCCAUGGUAA
rnacentral:rRNA from 1 species